AGGACUGGGGGAGGUACGAGUGUGUGGUCCAGCUGAAAGGCAUCGAGGACAUCUCCACCCCCCUGGACCCCGCCCUCAUCAGGACCAACGGGGGCAAGAGUCACCUCCUUGUUUUCAUCCUCGUUGGUGUCGCUGUUGCUGCUGUUGUUGUUGCUGCUGCUGUGGGAGUCUUUGUGUACCAGAAGAGGAACGAUUCAGACAAGCGUCACAAAUCAGUUGGUUCUUCUGACAGCUCCUCUGCGAACACUGAGGGGCAGAAUCCGGCUCCUGAGGCCCAACCUCUGACCACAGCCGUGACUGACCUCUAGUGGAGGAGGUGAGAGCAGAGGAAGGCGGGGCAGGAUGGGCCUACAACUGGUGUACAGUAUUAUGUAUAAAUGUUGCUGUUUGAGAUGAUGCUUUAUAAUCUACAGUUGGUGUAUAAAGUAACUGAAUGUACUGUUACUGAUAUUUACUGAUGUUAUUAUGCAGCUUUUGCUGUUGCGGGUGGAUAAUUCUCUAUGUAAUCUACCGUUGGUUUAUAAAGUAACCGAUGUACACUUACAAAUACAUCACAGAUGUUAUUAAGCAGCUGUUUUAGGGGGAGAAUGAGAUUGCAACCAAACAAUUAAAUAAAUAAAGAAUUUUUGUACGGUGAACUUUGCGUUGAAUUAAUAGUUGUUUUAUUUUCCCACUAACAAUUAACGUUGAAACAUACAGACGCAGGCGUAUCGCCUCCAAAUGUAUGCUGGGUAAUAAUGUGUUAAUCCCAUAGCUGCCCACAGAGUCGAUGCGUCCUCAUCAAUCACUUGUCAACAGAGCAGAAUUCGGCCAACAACCCUGAGCAGGUUAUUAAAGAGACACAGGGACUGUCCAGUUUGAAACAAGAUUAAAAUAGUUCACAUUCUAUGGAUAAAAUAACAUUCUAAUUGCUAAAUUAACAAAAAAUCAAUUUGAAUAUGAAAUAAUAUUAGUGAAAGCAGAGCUCGAGGCUGGAGGCUUGACUUGACCUGUGAGACUGGACUCUGACUCCCUGC